rnacentral:rRNA from 1 species
GGCCGCGGUAUUUUGACCGUGCUAAGGUAGCGUAAUCACUUGUCUUUUAAAUUAAGACCUGUAUGAAUGGUGGAACGAGGGUUAACCUGUCUCCUUUUUCAAGUCAGUGAAAUUGAUCUGCCCGUGCAGAAGCGGACAUAAAAAUACAAGACGAGAAGACCCUUUGGAGCUUUAAGAUAAAAAGAUCAAGUAUGUAAAAAUUACACUAAAUGAAAAUAAAACAUAAUAUUUACUGAUCUACAUCUUCGGUUGGGGCGACCGCGGGGAAAACAAAACCCCCGUGUGGAAAGGGGAUUAAACCUAUAAAACAAGAGGGACACCUCGAAGUCUCAGAAUAUCUGACCUAAUAGAUCCAGCUCAUCAAGCUGAUUAACGGACCAAGUUACCCUAGGGAUAACAGCGCAAUCCUCUCCAAGAGUCCAUAUCGACGAGGGGGUUUACGACCUCGAUGUUGGAUCAGGACAUCCUAUUGGUGCAGCCGCUAUUAAGGGUUCGUUUGUUCAACGAUUAAAGUCCUAC